UCACGCUGUCGGGCCAACAGCCUGUUUCAGUAUCGCGAGCCAGUCAGAAAAGCCUAUCAUGGAUGCUGACAUCGUUAACACCCUAGAGCAAAGAGAACAGUUUGCAGCCUCCCAAAGUAUUUUUAGUUGAAGCUCGAUGACAUUGCACUAGUUUGUGAACCACCGAAGCUAACAAGCUAACGAGCUAACAAGCUUCGGGCCAUCGUCCGCCUGCAUGGUGCCGUCCAAUGAAGUUUGAAGCCUUUGGGUUGCUCUGGCUCUUUCUGAUUUGGUGUUACGGUUUUUGAGGCUCACCAAUGGUUUACAUCUUGGGAUGAACCCUUGCCUCUGUCUUUUAUUUCUUUUUAAGGAAAGUAGCACACAGUUGAAUAGGCCACACAUAAUGUUUUUGCUGUAUCUCUGAUGGGUUUGUUUUGAUUUUUCAGCCUGAUGAUGGCUUGCUUCACUCUGAGCGACAGCUCUCCGGGCUUGAUGUUCAGAGUUGACGGCGACAGAUUUCAAAUGGGAAUCCCGCACUUUGAAUGAACUCUAGACCUUUUAUCGGCUCCUUGUUAAUGAAAUAAUGAGGGAAUAACACACCGUGGACGUGGCACAGCCGAUCAGCCAAUUGUUAAAUGACUUUCACUUACUUCAAAAGUAGGGACCGUGUCAUUUGUUGUAAUUGGUACAGUGUACUUGAUUUAGGCAUCAAUACCUUCCAUUAAAAUUAAAGCUGAAA